AAAAAGAAAAAAAAACAUUAAAAACAUUCACUAAAAAAACCCUCACCCGCAUCCUCACCUCAGUAAGCCAUAGCUGCCGCCGCCAUUUCCUUCCCACCGACCACCGUCGUCGCCGCCCCCUUCUCCUCGCUCCACCGUUGUAGAAGCGACCGCCGACCAGGGUUCUUUUAUGUGAAGCAGCUUUUCGCAUCGAAUCAGCGAUGCCGAGGUACUACUGUGACUACUGUGAUACCUACUUAACCCACGAUUCUCCAUCUGUGAGAAAGCAGCAUAAUGCAGGUUACAAACAUAAGGCAAAUGUGAGGUCCUACUACCAACAAUUUGAAGAACAACAAACUCAAAGUUUAAUCGAUCAAAGGAUCAAAGAACAUCUUGGGCAAGCUGCAGCAUUUCAGCAGGUUGGUGUGGCUUAUAAUCCUCUAGUUCAGAGGCCAGCCAUGCCCCCUGUAUUGCCACCUCCGAGAUUGCCUAUUCCUGGUGCCCCCCAAAUACCUGGAAGUCAACCGCUAAUGCCGGGAAUGCGACCCCUUUUGCCUAGGCCGAUUCCUGGUGCACCAGGAUAUAUGUCUGCACCUCCCAUGCAACCAAUGGUACCUCCUCCUGGAGCUCCCCAGGUGCCAGGUCAGCUGAGUUCCCUACCCCGGCCGCCGACAUUAGCUCCCACACCAACAGUUCCUGGAAGCACUGCACCACCAGCUUCGAAUGGUGCUCCUUCUAUUGCUCCACCAGCCAUGUAUCAAGCCAAUCCAACAGCACCAGCAACUGGAGGUUAUGAUAGUUACAAUGCAAAUGCUCAAGCACCUGAGGGCAAUCACUGAUCUGGUGAAACUGCUUCGGUAGAAAGCAUUGUAUCUUUUACCACACACAAAAAAGCAUAGUGUCUGGCUUAUCUGCAUGGAUUCAAAGUAUCAGACUUUCAUGUUAAUCAUAUGAGGACUCUCAAACUCACUUCCCAUGUUUGGUCAUAUUUAGGGGAAUCAUAUACUGAGAUAAUUGGUAUGUAUGUACUAUGUAAUGUAUUGAUUGGUUUGAGUGUGGGGAAAAAUCUUGUUCUAGUAUAAUAGUUAUUAGGAUGAAAAUAUUCACAUUGAAGUGCUAAUUGAGAAGAACCUUUGCCAA